rnacentral:rRNA from 1 species
GUAGGGAAUAUUGCACAAUGGAGGAAACCCUGACGCAGCGACGCCGCGUGAGUGAUGAAGGCCUUCGGGUCGUAAAGCUCUGUUGCAGGGGAAUAAAAAAAUGAAGGUACCCUGUGAGGAAGGAUCGGCUAACUUCGUGCCAGCAGCCGCGGUAAGACGAGGGAUCCUAGCGUUGCUCGGAAUCAUUGGGCGUAAAGAGGGCGUAGGUGGCUUGGUAAGUCAGGUGUGAAAGCCCAGGGCUCAACCCUGGAAGUGCAUUUGAUACUGCUGAGCUUGAGUGUCGGAGAGGUUACCGGAAUACCUGGUGUAGUGGUGAAAUACGUAGAUAUCAGGUGGAACACCGGAGGCGAAGGCGGGUAACUGGACGAACACUGACACUGAGGCCCGAAAGCGUGGGGAUCAAACAGGAUUAGAUACCCGGGUAGUCC